rnacentral:sRNA from 1 species
AAAAAAUAAUGUUUAAUUUCACCGAACGGGAUUAGAUGGUAUGACGGGUUUAGAAUAUUAUAAUAUAUGAACUUUAUAAAAAUUAAAUAACCAUUU